rnacentral:rRNA from 1 species
CCUACGGGCGGCAGCAGUGAGGAAUAUUGGUCAAUGGGCGCGAGCCUGAACCAGCCAAGUCGCGUGAGGGAAGACGGCCCUAUGGAUUGUAAACCUCUUUUGUCGGGGAGCAAAAGACGCCACGCGUGGCGUUCCGAGAGUACCCUAAGAAAAAGCAUCGGCUAACUCCGUGCCAGCAGCCGCGGUAAUACGGAGGAUGCGAGCGUUAUCCGGAUUUAUUGGGUUUAAAGGGUGCGCAGGCGGACGAUCAAGUCAGCGGUAAAAUUGAGAGGCUCAACCUCUUAGAGCAGUUGAAACUGGUUGUCUUGAGUGAGCGAGAAGUAUGCGGAAUGCGUGGUGUAGCGGUGAAAUGCAUAGAUAUCACGCAGAACUCCGAUUGCGAAGGCAGCAUACUGGCGUUUAACUGACGCUGAUGCACGAAAGUGUGGGUAUCGAACAGGAUUAGAUACCCGGGUAGUC